GUAUACAUACCCGUAUGUGUGUGUGUGUGGAUGUAAACUCACACAUAUGGGUAUGUAUACA
rnacentral:pre_miRNA from 12 species